rnacentral:rRNA from 1 species
AUGAGGGGGGUCGCCGCAAACAUAGUGGCGCACCUCGCCGGCAAGAUCCGUCUGAAGCGAUUCCCUCGUGGGAUCCAGUGCAUAGGCUCGCUGCUUGAGAUAUCUCAGGGGCAAGCUGAAGACGGCCACCAGUGUGCGCCGUCUGCUGACUACGACUACAAGAAGCUCAUGGAGAAAGGCCUGGUUAUCCUCGACGGGCUCGCCGCCGAUGAGCACAACUGCAGAGUCCUCGGCAACGCCGAGGCCUUGCUCGCCAAGGUCGUGGCGCCUGUAAGCUGCGACCUGCUCCACCUCAUCGACCAUGAUGCCUGGUCAAUUGUGGUGGCCGCGUCACUGCAGGUCAUGUGCCGCCUCGUGGCUGCUCCAGGAGAGACCGGUGCCAAGCUACGUAGCCAAAUCUCUAGCAACAAGGAAGGGACCAAUAGCAUGGAGGGGAUUCUCAAAUGCGACGAAUGUGAGGAAAAGCUCCAGGUCCUGACCAUCAAGAUCCUCACGCAGCUGCCCAUGGAUGUGGAUGUAUGUCCGACUGCUGUGAACACAGAAAGCAGAGGAAAUUUUGUCAAGAUGCUCCCAGACAUCUUCACUUGUGACAGUAAGGACAGCUCCAUCAGAAAAUUGGCAGGCGAAGCACUGGUCAUGUUAAGCCAAAGUAAUGUUGCCAUCAUCUUGAGGGCAAAUGUCAAUGUGGUCCAAGAUCUCACCAACAUCCUUUUAGAUGAUAAGGCUUACAACACACAUCGAAUCAAUGCAGCUGAAACCCUGGAGCAUCUGUAUAUUCACUACAAAGAAAAUGACGACCAUCACAAGAAACUCAAGGAGGCCAUGGAGGGCAUCAUGCGAAAGGUAUUGAGUUCUCCCGAAAAUACUUUCUUUUGGGUCAAAAAAGAAAGGAACACCAACAGAAAAGGAUGUUGGUCCUUUGCUAGGCACGGGCGACGUAGAAGCCCAAGACGGUGA